CCACCUAACAGCUCGCACACAGAUCAUUCCAAAAAUCAUCGGGAAGAGGACAUAGAUAACGGAUUCAAGGAUCAUCCCGAUGAGAACCAUUGCAGUGGAGAUGAAGUGACUGGACUUCGGGAGUGACAUGCUUUAAUCUCCGCAGAGGCCUUCAUGGACACAUAACCGGAUGACAAUGAGUUGCCUCUAGAUACUUCAUUCCGAUGGUACUGCCAAUGCUUGAAUCGCCCCUUUCUCAUCUAAAGUUACACAUCUAUUCCUUUGACCCAUUUUCUUGUCCGCCUUCUUCCGUUAGGAUGUAUAUAGACUUUACUCUUUCAUCGCCCUCUGCUCCUUUUGGUGCUCUGGAAAUGCAUACAAGGGUCUGGAACCGCCCAUUCAAGCGAAUAAGAGAAAUCCGAAGGCUCCGUUGUAACUUUGAAUUUGUGAAUUAAAAGACUAAAAGUUUUGUGUUAUUUAUACCAUUGUAUCAGCAAAUACUCAGAAUCAGUUUUUCCA